rnacentral:rRNA from 1 species
AUUGAACGCUGGCGGCAGGCCUAACACAUGCAAGUCGAGCGGAUGAGGGGUGCUUGCACCCUGAUUCAGCGGCGGACGGGUGAGUAAUGCCUAGGAAUCUGCCCGAUAGUGGGGGACAACGUUUCGAAAGGAACGCUAAUACCGCAUACGUCCUACGGGAGAAAGUGGGGGCUCUUCGGACCUCACGCUAUCGGAUGAGCCUAGGUCGGAUUAGCUAGUUGGUGGGGUAAAGGCUCACCAAGGCGACGAUCCGUAACUGGUCUGAGAGGAUGAUCAGUCACACUGGAACUGAGACACGGUCCAGACUCCUCCGGGAGGCAGCAGUGGGGAAUAUGGGACAAUGGGCGAAAGCCUGAUCCAGCCAUGCCGCGUGUGUGAAGAAGGUCUUCGGAUUGUAAAGCACUUUAAGUCGGGAGGAAGGGCUGCAGGUUAAUACCUUGCAGCCUUGACGUUACCGACAGAAUAAGCACCGGCUAACUUCGUGCCAGCCGCCGCCGUAACAC